GAAUUUGGACCCUUUCCUGGACCAGCCUUAUGUGGUACAGUCUUCUCUCUGGCAAUGACGGGCAGGGUGGGGCGAGCCGCGGCUCCAGCCAGCCCGGCCAUGGCAGCGAGCUCUGUCGCUCAGCAGGCUGGCUGCAUUUUAUGCAUUGUCAACUUUCAAUAUGGAAGAGCAUCUGUAGUUGGAGGAACAAAUCCUGGACACCAACAGACACCAAAGGAAGAACAUGGGAAGACCCAGGGGAAGGCACCUUCUGCCAUCCAAGGAGAGAUUUCUCAGAGGACACUAGACCUGCCAACACCUUGACUUUGGAUUUCCAGUCUCUAGAAUGGUGACUACACCUCUCACCCCGGAUCCUCUUUUGGUCAACAAGCUGAGAUGGGGCUGAUCUCAGAGAGAGGUCCCAGGCUGGAGGUCCUGACCCCAGCCUCAUGGAGACCUGGACAAGUACACUACUGCCCCAGAAAAGCAGGAUGCCUGUGGGAUUACCCAAAACCCAAUUCCAUCAACUAACCAAGAAAU